UCCCUAGAGGACUAGUGGUUAGGACACAGCGCCCUCACCGCCGCGGCCCGGGUUCGAUUCCUGGCCAGGGAA
rnacentral:tRNA from 1 species